CGCUGGCGGCGUGCUUAACACAUGCAAGUCGAACGGAAAGGCCCUGCUUUUGUGGGGUGCUCGAGUGGCGAACGGGUGAGUAACACGUGAGUAACCUGCCCUUGACUUUGGGAUAACUUCAGGAAACUGGGGCUAAUACCGGAUAGGAGCUCCUGCUGCAUGGUGGGGGUUGGAAAGUUUCGGCGGUUGGGGAUGGACUCGCGGCUUAUCAGCUUGUUGGUGGGGUAGUGGCUUACCAAGGCUUUGACGGGUAGCCGGCCUGAGAGGGUGACCGGCCACAUUGGGACUGAGAUACGGCCCAGACUCCUACGGGAGGCAGCAGUGGGGAAUAUUGCACAAUGGGCGGAAGCCUGAUGCAGCAACGCCGCGUGCGGGAUGACGGCCUUCGGGUUGUAAACCGCUUUCGCCUGUGACGAAGCGUGAGUGACGGUAAUGGGUAAAGAAGCACCGGCUAACUACGUGCCAGCAGCCGCGGUGAUACGUAGGGUGCGAGCGUUGUCCGGAUUUAUUGGGCGUAAAGGGCUCGUAGGUGGUUGAUCGCGUCGGAAGUGUAAUCUUGGGGCUUAACCCUGAGCGUGCUUUCGAUACGGGUUGACUUGAGGAAGGUAGGGGAGAAUGGAAUUCCUGGUGGAGCGGUGGAAUGCGCAGAUAUCAGGAGGAACACCAGUGGCGAAGGCGGUUCUCUGGGCCUUUCCUGACGCUGAGGAGCGAAAGCGUGGGGAGCGAACAGGCUUAGAUACCCUGGUAGUCCACGCUGUAAACGGUGGGUACUAGGUGUGGGGUCCAUUCCACGGGUUCCGUGCCGUAGCUAACGCUUUAAGUACCCCGCCUGGGGAGUACGGCCGCAAGGCUAAAACUCAAAGGAAUUGACGGGGCCCCGCACAAGCGGCGGAGCAUGCGGAUUAAUUCGAUGCAACGCGUAGAACCUUACCUGGGUUUGACAUGGAUCGGGAGUGCUCAGAGAUGGGUGUGCCUCUUUUGGGGUCGGUUCACAGGUGGUGCAUGGCUGUCGUCAGCUCGUGUCGUGAGAUGUUGGGUUAAGUCCCGCAACGAGCGCAACCCUUGUUCACUGUUGCCAGCACGUUAUGGUGGGGACUCAGUGGAGACCGCCGGGGUCGACUCGGAGGAAGGUGGGGAUGACGUCAAGUCAUCAUGCCCCUUAUGUCCAGGGCUUCACGCAUGCUACAAUGGCUGGUACAGAGAGUGGCGAGCCUGUGAGGGUGAGCGAAUCUCGGAAAGCCGGUCUCAGUUCGGAUUGGGGUCUGCAACUCGACCUCAUGAAGUCGGAGUCGCUAGUAAUCGCAGACCAGCAACGCUGCGGUGAAUACGUUCCCGGGGCUUGUACACACCGCCCGUCAAGUCAUGAAAGUUGGUAACACCCGAAGCCGGUGGCCUAACCGUUGUGGGGGGGCCGUCGAAGGUGGGACUGGA
rnacentral:rRNA from 1 species